CUUGGUGGUUCGGCGCUGUGGCAACACCCGUUCUCAUUCCGAACACGGAAGUGAAACGCAGUAGCGGCGAUGGUAGUCUUAAGUGGCGAGAGUAGCUAGCCGCCAGGA
rnacentral:rRNA from 1 species